GACGAACGCUGGCGGCGUGCCUAAUACAUGCAAGUCGACCUUAGUGGCGGACGGGUGAGUAACACGUGGGAACCUACCCAUCAGAGGGGGAUAACACUUGGAAACAGGUGCUAAUACCGCAUACUGCUGGAUGGACUCGCGGGGCAUUAGCUAGUUGGUGAGGAAAAGGCCUACCAAGGCGACGAUCCGUACUGGGUCUGGAGGGAGGAUCAGACACACGGGAACUGAGAAACGGUCCAGACUCCUACGGUAGGAAGCAGUGGGGAAUAUUGGACAAUGGGCGAAAGCCUGAUCCAGCCAUGCCGCGUGUGUGAAGAAGGUCUUCGGAUUGUAAAGCACUUUAAGUUGGGAGGCGUUACCAACAGAAUAAGCACCGGCUAACUUCGUGCCAGCAGCCGCGGUAAUUC
rnacentral:rRNA from 1 species